GAACAACCCUAAGCGGGGAGAACCAAAACACUACAAACCCGCCACUAAGCCCCUGAGAAUCUACACCACAAAAGCCAUCAAACCUUAAAGGAGCUAACUUUUUUACAGCAGUAUCUACAUCAGCAAAAGAUUCCAUAACAAAUAUGAUAUUUAUAGCGAAGGAGCGGACUAGAGACAACAAGUAUAGAACUUUAGGGGAGUCCGCUGAACCUAGACCCCUACAGUUUCAAGCACCGAUGUUCAUGGCCCCAAAGGUGGCUCUUGAAGGGGAGCCACCGACCCCUGAUCAGAGUGUGCUAGUGAAGAGGAUUCAGAAACUGGUUGUCCUUGUAAACCUUUGUGCUUUUUGAGAGGUUUGAAGCAUGAGAAGCACCCCGGCGAAGACUCAACGGGAGGAGUUCCUGGUUCUGAAAUCGAAGCAGUGUGCUUGGUAUGACACGCCAUUUUCACCCAUUGCCACAUUUUAUCUUUGCUUCUGGUGAUUUUGAGUCGCAAUGGUGGUGCGACUUUACCCUUACCGCCGUCAGAUAAUAGCGGAAUUACAGAGAUUAUUUCCUCUCUAGCCGGAGAUGGCUGCGGAGACCAGUCCAUAGAAGUCGGCUCAUCAGAAUCUGCUCAGCUCCACCGUAGUCGAAUGGACAGAUGGAGGAGAGUGUGAGAAUUCGAAGCCCCCAGAUGAAGAGUCUAGCUGGUACCCCGAAUUGUUUGGCAAAACCCGAGGAAAAGACAAAGCCAAUGAAGGAGAUGGAGAUCCAGACUGUUGGUGAGUUGAUUCAAAAGGAGAAGAGUUAUGAUCCCCGAUCCAGUUGCUUGGACCUGCACCAAAAGGGUCAGGAAAGACCGGUCUAGAUGGCCUAAGAGGAGGAGGGGAAAAGAUAGGAACUGGAUUCAUGGUGGGUUGGCCCAGAUCUUGAAAUAAAAUGAAAAUUAUACCCUACAUCCUAGUGUAGGAUGGUCUACCUACACCCCCUGAUGCUACGCCGUUUUGUAGCUUGCGGGGAGUACUCACGAGCUCAUUCAUGCUUCAAUUCUUCCCUUUUUUUUUUAUUUAUUUUUUUAAUUCCUUGUUUCUUAUUAUUCAAGCUAUGUAUAUAAAUGAUUUUAAACCCAAUAUUUUCUCUCUCCUCAAUUGAUCAAUUUCCAUUUUUCUACCUACAUUCUCUCUAGUUAAUUCAUCUUCUUCAUUUGAUUUUAUACUAAUUUUGCCGUUUAUUUUUCCUACGAUUUUGAUAAUUGUUGUUGAUCAUCAAUGGCUGAUUCUUCAUCUGCUAAUUUCGAUCGUGAUUACGAAAGUGUGUUUCCGUCUUCUAGAGUUCGAUUGAUUGAUUCGUUUGUUCAUCAACAAUUCGAAGGAUUUAAAUAUUCCUAUAAAUAAAAGUGUUGCUGGUGUUUCUGCUGCUCAAGCUCAAUGUAAUGUUCCUAUAAAUAAAGGUGGUGCUGGUGUUAAAAAUGAUGCUCAAGUUAAUCCAAGAGUACUAAUGCGUCUACAAAAUCUCAAACUAGAUAUUUUGUUCCACCCGUAGUUCUUGGCAUUGUUCCAACUUCAACUCAGGAUUGUUCAAACUUCAAUCUAGAAAUGUUUAAACCCCAUUCCAGAAAUGUUCAAUCGACAAAUGUUUAAGUUAUUCCUCCCACGGUUCCAAUAAAUGAUCAAGGUGCUCUUGUUCAAAGUUCUUCAAGUGUUAAAGACAUAAGAAUUUGUUUCUA